rnacentral:lncRNA from 1 species
AUGGAGGACCAAGAAGGCCUCAUAUGGUAACAUUUCCCUCGAUCGAGAAAAAAGGUAAUUAUGUGUACCAUUUGGUGUUCAACAUGUUGCAGAUCUAACAAUAGAUUCCGCAGAUAAUCCCGGAGUGAAUCCGGAGAUCCUACAAGAGGAUGAACAAAGAGCUCAACGAUAAUUAGAAGCUGGCGAGUGUGUACUUACGCGGGUCAGGCGGGAGAAAAACGAUCUCCAGGAUGCCAAUACCCGGCUGAGCGUAGAAUUGAAAGAUGUUCGUGCCCAGCUAGAUGACUACGUGAAGGAGAAUAAAAGGCUUGAACGCGACAUUUUUAUUAUGUGCUCAAACGAACCUUUAUAUAGUUCGGCGAAGAAACAGGCCAACAGAGUUAUUUCUGUAGGUAUGCUGACGGGUCGUCCCGAAGAGGAGAUGCCCGGAUACUUAGGCGAUCUUCUGCAAGAGCUUUCGCAACUGCACGAACAAGUUCGGUAGGUGAUGCAGGGUGGCGCCAAGGCCUUGUGGCCAUCCGCCUCCCUGCCAGGAAGCAUGGGGGAGCUUGUUCAAUUGCUCAAGGGAGCACGGCGGCGUUUCCGACUAUGGAAGAUAUCUGCCUGUCGACAAGGUGCGAGGGAAGCUUGGGCCAUGGUCAAAACACGGUAUACCAAGCUCGAUCCAAAUCACAUGGCCCGGGUCAGAUGGGCAGGAGAUUCCUGUUAGUCGUGUCUAUGACCAGGUAGGAUUAGCUGUAAAGUAUUCCCCACAGGAUUGUAGGCUAGACAGCCUGUUGGAUGGCAUAGAAGACGAAGUAUGUGAGUCUAAGUGACUAUGUACUUCAAUUGACAUAUUUGUCCCUAGCCGGAUUGUAAAUCAUUUGUCAUCGCGGACCUUUUUGCUUUGGCCUCCGGACCCAACAGUCCGGAGUGUUUCCGAAUACCCGCUCGGUUAUAUGAACUGGGGUACGCGUGGAAACCAGGUGUAGGGGUCAUAAUUGCUUGAACAGACAAGUACCCAACUAUCAAUGUUAUAUUACAUAGAUAGUAAGAAACAUCUUCCAGAGAGAAUAGUUUCA